UAGCGAAGGGGGCUAGCGUUGCUCGGAAUGACUGGGCGUAAAGGGCGCGUAGGCGGCUCGCUUAGUCAGGCGUGAAAGCCCUGGGCUCAACCUGGGGACGGCGCUUGAGACGGGUGGGCUUGAGGACGGAAGAGGCUCGCGGAAUUCCCAGUGUAGAGGUGAAAUUCGUAGAUAUUGGGAAGAACACCGGUGGCGAAGGCGG
rnacentral:rRNA from 1 species